rnacentral:rRNA from 1 species
GACGAACGCUGGCGGCGUGCUUAACACAUGCAAGUCGAACGGAAAGGCCCUGCCUUUGUGGGCUGCUCGAGUGGCGAACGGGUGAGUAACACGUGAGUAACCUGUCCUUGACUUUGGGAUAACUUCAGGAAACUGGGGCUAAUAGCGGAUAGGAGCUCCUGCUGCAUGGUGGGGGUGGGAAAGUUUCGGUGGUUGGGGAUGGACUCGCGGACUAUCAGCUUGAUGGUGGGGUAGUGGCUUAGCAAGGCCUUGACGGGUAGCCGGGCUGGGAGGGGGACCGGCCCAAUUGGGCCGGGAAUGCGACCCGGCCUACUACGGGAGGCAGGGGUGGAGUGUGGUGUACAAUGGGCGGAGGCCUAAUGCAGCAACGCCGCGUCCGGGAUGACGGCCAGCGGGUAGUGAUCCGCUUUCGCCUGUGACGAAGCGUGAAUGACGGUAAUGGGUAAAGAAGCACCGGCUAACUACGUG